rnacentral:tRNA from 2 species
GUGGGGGUAUCCCCCACUGCGGACUGAGGCUCCGCUGGCGAAGGCCUGCGCGGGUUCAAAUCCCGUCCCCCGCA